rnacentral:sRNA from 1 species
AUGGAUUAUGUUUAUCCAUUACUUCCUCCCUAAGAUAUGGAUGAUGUUUAUCCAUUACUUCUUCCCUAAAUAAUUUACUUCCUAGCUAAGUAAACUCUUCUAUAUAUAGUUCGUUUCAUUCAUUUGUAAGUUACAAAGGAAAGAGAAGAGAAAGAGAAAGCAAUAAGAAAACUCUUGUUUUGAGUUGUACUCUCUCUAGUCCUCAUUCUUCUUUCUUAUUUUAAUCUUUUAUAACAACCAUAAAUUUUCAUCAU